UGUAAUCGUUGUAAAUCGAAAGCGUUGCCGAGAAUAAUAUAAAUAAUAGUUUUUAAAUGUAAUACGGAAAGAAAAGAAAACUAAGAGCGUUCUUUACUAAUUUCAAGUGUGUGUGUGUGUGUGUGUGUGUGUGUGUGACUGUGCCAGAGAAAGAAAAGAGGAAAGCUCAGGCGUUACGGCUCUAA
rnacentral:sRNA from 1 species